GCCAUCCAUGAGGAUGGCAGCUCGGGUUGUGCCUAGGAACCAAUCGUGGGGAAACCAAACGGGGGAGUUAGCUUGUGAAAAUUAAAAAAAUCAUGUGACAACCCAAAUAUUUUUGCCAAGUUUACAGAAUCAAUAGAUAAAAUAUUUGUUUUAGACCCACAAAAUAGGCUUACUCUCACACGAACGCUCCAACAAAUUAUCACUAGAAAGUGAAAUAACUGAAAUAUGUGUUCUUUCAACCUUAAUAUUUUUAUCAUUUACAAAAUAUAAGAUGAUAAGUCAAUUGACAACCAGACAAUGCUUAGAACAUGUCAAGAAAAUUUAAGUCUUGGGUAAAAAUUAAGAUUGAUGAAAACAUAGACUUUAGAUUACAAUAUAAGUGAGAAAAUUACAUAAGUCUUAUCUCGUCCAAUGCUGCGUCCAACUUCCUUCUAUAAAACUGCAGCUUGGACCAGAUUUUCUGAGAGCAAAAUAUAACGGAAUAGAAAUGCUUUCUAGAGGCAAGAAAACUCAAGAAUCCACUUAGAAAGCUAUAUAUGUGGACUACAACUGCCAAUGUAAAUGAACCUAUCUAAAAAGUGAAAACUACCUUUUCUAAGACAGGAAAUCUCAAGAAUACAAAGGGGAACAAUGUGUUGCAUGUGUACAUAUCUAAGAAGAUGCUAUUUUCUACACCCGAUUGUGAGUUCCCUAUUAUAUGAUGAAAAAAAUUAGUAAGUUGAGGUGUGAAUGUUUGAAAUUAGUGCUUUCGUUACAAACAAAAACUGGAAAAAUUCAUUCUUCAAUAUUCAUUACCUGCAAUGCAUGUGUUGUUGAUGUCUCUAGGGAAGAAAAUUACUCUAGGCCGUCAGAGUCUACUAGCUCUAAAUUUUGUAUGGAACACAGAAAAUCAAAAGAAUUAGAUCAAGACUUCAGUUACUAAAUGGUAGUAAAAUUUGCAAAAGUAGUAGAAGAAUGUAGUUUAAUGUAACGUCAGUAGAAGAAUGCAAGAUAAAACAUUACUAGUUAUGUAAAGAGUUGAAGAUAAUCAUUGUGGGAACUACAUGUCGAUGUUUUCUAUGAUUACUUAGCAUUCAGAACUCGGGAGGCUUGGCAAUGAGCGGAAAGGCAAGCACCUCUCUGACAGUAGCAGUGAGUAUUGGACAUCAAGGCUGCCAAGCCCGGCUAGGUUCGUUUCAACGUGCAUCCAUGAACACGAGUGCCCACUCUACCAGCGUUGUUGAUGCCAAUGC
rnacentral:lncRNA from 1 species